rnacentral:rRNA from 1 species
GUUGUAGUAUGAAUAUACAUGUGUUCGUCCAAAGAUUAGCCAUGCAUGUCUAAGUAUAGCAACUGUACUGUGAACUGCGAAUGCUCAUUAAAUCAGUUAUCGUUUAUUUGAUAGUACCUUACUACAUGGAUACCUGUGGUAAUUCUAGAGCUAAUACAUGCUAAAAACCCCGACUUCAGGAAGGGGUGUAUUUAUUAGAUAAAAAACCAACGCCCUUUCGGGGCUCCUUGGUGAAUCAUAAUAACUUAACGAAUCGCAUGGCCUUGCGCCGGCGAUGGUUCAUUCAAAUUUCUGCCCUAUCAACUUUCGAUGGUAGGAUAGUGGCCUACCAUGGUGGCAACGGGUAACGGGGAAUUAGGGUUCGAUUCCGGAGAGGGAGCCUGAGAAACGGCUACCACAUCCAAGGAAGGCAGCAGGCGCGCAAAUUACCCAAUCCCGAUACGGGGAGGUAGUGACAAUAAAUACUGAUACGGGGCUCUUUUGGGUCUCGUAAUUGGAAUGAGAACAAUUUAAAUCCCUUAACGAGGAACAAUUGGAGGGCAAGUCUGGUGCCAGCAGCCGCGGUAAUUCCAGCUCCAAUAGCGUAUAUUAAAGUUGUUGCAGUUAAAAAGCUCGUAGUUGAACCUUGGGUCUGGCUGGCCGGUCCGCCUCACCGCGAGUACUGGUCCGGCUGGACCUUUCCUUCUGGGGAACCUCAUGGCCUUCACUGGCUGUGGGGGGAACCAGGACUUUUACUGUGAAAAAAUUAGAGUGUUCAAAGCAGGCCUUUGCUCGAAUACAUUAGCAUGGAAUAAUAGAAUAGGACGUGUGGUUCUAUUUUGUUGGUUUCUAGGACCGCCGUAAUGAUUAAUAGGGAUAGUCGGGGGCGUCAGUAUUCAGCUGUCAGAGGUGAAAUUCUUGGAUUUGCUGAAGACUAACUACUGCGAAAGCAUUCGCCAAGGAUGUUUUCAUUAAUCAGGGAACGAAAGUUAGGGGAUCGAAGACGAUCAGAUACCGUCGUAGUCUUAACCAUAAACUAUGCCGACUAGGGAUCGGACGGGAUUCUAUAAUGACCCGUUCGGCACCUUACGAGAAAUCAAAGUUUUUGGGUUCUGGGGGAGUAUGCAC